rnacentral:rRNA from 1 species
GACGAACGCUGGCGGCAUGCCUAAUACAUGCAAGUCGAGCGAACAGAUGAAGUGCUUGCACUUCUGACGUUAGCGGCGAACGGGUGAGUAACACGUAAGGAAUCUACCUAUAAGCGGGGGAUAACAUUCGGAAACGGGUGCUAAUACCGCAUAAUAUCUUCUUCCGCAUGGAAGAAGAUUGAAAGACGGCUCUGCUGUCACUUAUAGAUGACCUUGCGGUGCAUUAGUUAGUUGGUGGGGUAAUGGCCUACCAAGACGAUGAUGCAUAGCCGACGUGAGAGGGGGAUCGGCCACAUUGGGACUGGGACACGGCCCAAACUCCUACGGGAGGCAGCAGUAGGGAAUCUUCCGCAAUGGGCGAAAGCCUGACGGAGCAAUGCCGCGUGAGUGAAGAAGGCCUUCGGGUCGUAAAACUCUGUUAUAAGAGAAGAACAAAUUGUAGAGUAACUGCUACAGUCUUGACGGUAUCUUAUCAGAAAGCCACGGCUAACUACGUGCCAGCCGCCGCAGUAA